UGCAGUCGAGCGAUGGAUUAAGAGCUUGCUCUUAUGAAGUUAGCGGCGGACGGGUGAGUAACACGUGGGUAACCUGCCCAUAAGACUGGGAUAACUCCGGGAAACCGGGGCUAAUACCGGAUAAYAUUUUGAACYGCAUGGUUCGAAAUUGAAAGGCGGCUUCGGCUGUCACUUAUGGAUGGACCCGCGUCGCAUUAGCUAGUUGGUGAGGUAACGGCUCACCAAGGCAACGAUGCGUAGCCGACCUGAGAGGGUGAUCGGCCACACUGGGACUGAGACACGGCCCAGACUCCUACGGGAGGCAGCAGUAGGGAAUCUUCCGCAAUGGACGAAAGUCUGACGGAGCAACGCCGCGUGAGUGAUGAAGGCUUUCGGGUCGUAAAACUCUGUUGUUAGGGAAGAACAAGUGCUAGUUGAAUAAGCUGGCACCUUGACGGUACCUAACCAGAAAGCCACGGCUAACUACGUGCCAGCAGCCGCGGUAAUACGUAGGUGGCAAGCGUUAUCCGGAAUUAUUGGGCGUAAAGCGCGCGCAGGUGGUUUCUUAAGUCUGAUGUGAAAGCCCACGGCUCA
rnacentral:rRNA from 1 species